rnacentral:lncRNA from 1 species
CUGUCAGUGAAAAGAACAGGGAGAUGAGUUAAGCCAAACUGCAGAGUUAGGGGUGAAGAGCAUUGACUGAUGUUAACCAUCAAUCUCUUUAAUGUCUAGUGGGACAGAGAAGGAAGAGAACUACCUGAAGGAGCCAAGUCUGUGAAAAGAUGAGAAUGGACAGCAUAGUUGUAAUAGCUGAUUGAUCAAUAACAGGAUGAUGGGUGGAUGCCACUCACUUGGCAAAAUGGAAGCAACAGCAACAUGAUGGAAACUCUCCAUGGUUGCAGUAUGAGUGAUAAAUUCCACAAUUUCAUGCACAGCUGGUACAGUAUAACUGUUAACUUCAUGAAAAACAACAAUUUGCCAGUAACAGUGCUACAUCAAUGGACGGGGACAGCAGCAAGCUAUUGAGUAGAAGAUCUUGGUGGGCAGGAUAAUAAAGAAGAGAGCGGAUUUUUGAAAUCUUUGGAG